rnacentral:rRNA from 1 species
UACGAUGGGGGCUAGCGUUGCUCGGAAUCACUGGGCGUAAAGGGCGCGUAGGCGGCGUUUUAAGUCGGGGGUGAAAGCCUGUGGCUCAACCACAGAAUGGCCUUCGAUACUGGGACGCUUGAGUAUGGUAGAGGUUGGUGGAACUGCGAGUGUAGAGGUGAAAUUCGUAGAUAUUCGCAAGAACACCGGUGGCGAAGGCGGCCAACUGGACCAUUACUGACGCUGAGGCGCGAAAGCGUGGGGAGCAAACAGG